GCCUGCCUAGUUCAAAGGGAGAACGCCGCCUUGCCAGGACGGCAAUACCGGUUCGACUCCGGUGGUAGGCUCCA
rnacentral:tRNA from 2 species